rnacentral:lncRNA from 1 species
CUGCUGUAUAAAACAACAUCGCUAAUAGAUCUGUCACCCGCUGUCCUUCCUUUUUACUUUGCAUAUACAUCUCGCAAUUCUCUAAAGGGCUUGCCUCCCUUCAGGAGUAGCCCUUCAGGAAGUCCCUGAGCUGCCUUUUUCUUCGGAAGCCUCGAUGCAGAACUGUGAAUAUGACAUCUUUCAUCUCACCUGAUAGGCGAGCCUUCCCCAAAUCCCAGAGAACAACUCUCGUGGGAAAGAGAAUUGUAAAAAUUGAAGAAAUCGUGAAGUCUGCUCUUAGCAAUCUGCAGAGAUGGCACCAGGAUUGUGGGUGAUCGUCAAUGCAAUGUCCCAUUUUCACAAAAUCCUCAAAAGGAGGCAAAAGCAAGUGUCAGUAGAUAGGUUCCUUGUUAAAGUUGCACAAAAAGGAAAAGAUUCCAUUGAGCCAAUAGGUAGCAGUGAUUCUGUUAGUGAUGAUUUAAGUCUUCCCACACAAUGGCCCUUCUGUCGCUUGUUUCCCUCACACCAGCCACAAAGGUUUUCAAAGGUAAGUGCAGAUUAAUUGGUUUAUUUUUGUUUAUAUUUGGUAUUUUUUAUUUUGUAUUAUAAUACAGUACUGUAAUA